GAUUCAAAUACAGUUUGACACUGCCUGGCUUCUUACUGACAGAACUUGACAGUUGCAAUGUCUGGACUGAUCGUGAACAACUGUGAAGGGUGGUGAAGAAAUGCUUCAAAGAACACUUCAAAGAGCAUCUGUAAGCCUCAUGAUGGGACAACCUGCUUGUAGCAGCAAUUUGGCCUUAUACUCUGGCAUUUGGGGUGCAAAUAUGCAGGUGUUUGAACUCCACCAUGUUGAAUAUACAGCCCUGACAUUCUUCAUAUUGGUAUGCAUCAAGAAUAACUUUAGUGGAACUCAUAUGAUAAUAUCUAUGUCAAAAACAUGUUUGGCAUUUUUUUAUUUGUUCAUUUCAAUUAACUGCUACCCUGUAAGUUAUGAAAGGGAAGAGAAGCUGCAGGGAGAAUUACAGAGUGUAUCACAUUUAUUAUAAGCUAUUAAUGUAUGGGCGGGUUACAUGAAAUAUUUUAUAUGCUUUUAAUGGAGAAUGCUCUGUAGUGUCAAGAGCAUUACUGCAGAAUGUUAUUUUAACACUUAGAAUUGCUUUGCUUACUCAUGAUAAUAUCUAUGUCAAAAACAUGUUUGGCAUUUUUUUUAUUUGUUCAUUUCAAUUAACUGCUACCCUGUAAGUUAUGAAAGGGAAGAGAAGCUGCAGGCAGAAUUACAGAGUGUAUCACAUUUAUUAUAAGCUAUUAAUGUAUGGGCGGGUUACAUGAAAUAUUUUAUAUGCUUUUAAUGGAGAAUGCUCUGUAGUGUCAAGAGCAUUACUGCAGAAUGUUAUUUUAGCACUUGGAAUUGCUUUGCUUACUUCUGCAAUUUCCUCAUAAAAUUUUAAUAGAUUUUACCUGCAUUAAUGUAAAAUGAUACCUAUUUAAAAUUUUAUGAAAUUUUUGUCUUCAUCAGUAUGUCUCGGUUUAUAUCUUUGUUGAAUUUAAAUUUAUUAUGUAGUUUAAUGUCUCACAGAAUUGCAAACUGUGCAGUAACCUUGCCAUGGCUUGUCUUUGAGUUGCCAUACAGUUUUUGUAAGUAUAUUACACUAAUACAAUUUUGUAAAAGUAUAAUUGUGAUGAGUAUGUUUGUAAAGACAUUAUUUAUUCCCCUAUAAACUGAAUAUUUAUUAUCUUUAUGCAGAUAAAUGCUUUAUUAUUUCAUAGCUGUCAGCAAAACUAUUAUGGUUUGCAUAGUCUGACUCAGAAAAACAACAUCUCCCAUACAGUGGUUGAUACUGUGUUCUCCUAAGAAUUUAAAUACUGUGGUAUCUUGGGAUGGGAGCAAGGAGCCAUGCAAACUAGGUUCAGCUUUAUUUAUGAGGUACUGCUUGGCCAAGUUCCUUCACUGCUAUUUGCCUUAGUUUUCUCACUGGUGAAGCAGAAAUGGUGAUGCUUUACAAAAAUCACAGAAAAUUUAGGAACAAUGAAUUUGUUAGAAAUCCACUGGUCUAUGUUUGAGCGAGGCUCCUGUUAAUGCCCAUUUAGCUCCAGAUCCAUCCUUACAAUUGUCAAGUAUUUUCAUGUUUUCUUCUGUGCCAAGAGCAGCCUGAUCUGCUUCUGAAGGUAUACAAUUGUCAAGUAUUUUCAUGUUUUCUUCUUUGCCAAGAGCAGCCUGGUCUGCUUCUGAAGGUGUAAAUAGGUAAUGAACCCAAACAGCUAGGACUGAGAGCAAGCCAUGCUCUACCCUGAACGAGAAAACUUUCUUUGAUGUGUUUCUUCCUCUUGGAAGGAGGUGAUGAGAGGCUGAGGAGAGCACAGAAGGUAAGAGAUUUGGCACUUUGCUGGAAAUUCAUAGGACUGCUAGUGCUGCAUCCUCUGUAGUUGUGUGAGUCCUUGCUGUACUAACUAAAUUCAUGUGAAGCCCCCAGUAACAGGGUGCUUCAAUAUCACGAGAUACCGAAUGUUCGUUCUGGGGUGUGCAGGCUCGUCUCUUCAGACUCUCUGAGGUGUGAGGGCAAUGCAGACAUGGCAAGGGCACUACUUCAAAGGCUCUGUGAUCAGGCCCUUCAUGCUCCUUGGGCCUGGUGACGACUCACAUGGUCACACCUAACCCUUGGGCCUGGUGACGACUCACAUGGUCACAUGGUCACAUUCUAUCCCAGAAUAAACACUCAGUGGUCACAGUUAUUACAUACUAUUUUCCCCAUCCAUUUUGGAUGCAGCCUCUUCACCAAGAGUGCUGCAGUAUUAAUUCUCCUUCAAAACAGUGUGCAUUUAUGGAUUUUAUCCCCACUUCUCUCUUGCCAGGCUUCACUUGGCCCCUGGUGAAAUCAAGCAUAUAAACUAUCGGCGUUUUGUCUCUGCCCAGUGUAGAGCUUUACAGGCUGACCUUUUGCAGAGUACUUGCACUGUUUUUGAAGGCAAAGU
ensembl:lncRNA